rnacentral:tRNA from 1 species
GUUUGUAGUUCAGUGGCAAAAAUGCCAUAUUGUGGUUGUGGAGACCUGAGUUCGAAUCCCAGUUGCCACA